UUCUGGCUGAGGUAGUAGGUUGUAUGGUUGUUAGCAACAACUUGGGAGAACUGUACAACUUGCUAACUUUCCCAGAGGC